rnacentral:rRNA from 1 species
GCUUGCUGGGUGAGAUUAGUGGCGAACGGGUGAGUAACACGUGAGUAACCUGCCCCUGACUCUGGGAUAAGCGUUGGAAACGACGUCUAAUACUGGAUAUGAUCACUGGCCGCAUGGUCUGGUGGUGGAAAGAUUUUUUGGUUGGGGAUGGACUCGCGGCCUAUCAGCUUGUUGGUGAGGUAAUGGCUCACCAAGGCGACGACGGGUAGCCGGCCUGAGAGGGUGACCGGCCACACUGGGACUGAGACACGGCCCAGACUCCUACGGGAGGCAGCAGUGGGGAAUAUUGCACAAUGGGCGCAAGCCUGAUGCAGCAACGCCGCGUGAGGGAUGACGGCCUUCGGGUUGUAAACCUCUUUUAGUAGGGAAGAAGCGAAAGUGACGGUACCUGCAGAAAAAGCACCGGCUAACUACGUGCCAGCAGCCGCGGUAAUACGUAGGGUGCAAGCGUUGUCCGGAAUUAUUGGGCGUAAAGAGCUCGUAGGCGGUUUGUCGCGUCUGCUGUGAAAUCCCGAGGCUCAACCUCGGGCUUGCAGUGGGUACGGGCAGACUAGAGUGCGGUAGGGGAGAUUGGAAUUCCUGGUGUAGCGGUGGAAUGCGCAGAUAUCAGGAGGAACACCGAUGGCGAAGGCAGAUCUCUGGGCCGUAACUGACGCUGAGGAGCGAAAGCGUGGGGAGCGAACAGGAUUAGAUACCCUGGUAGUCCACGCCGUAAACGUUGGGCGCUAGAUGUAGGGACCUUUCC